rnacentral:rRNA from 1 species
CGGUAGAGAGAAGCUUGCUUCUCUUGAGAGCGGCGGACGGGUGAGUAAUGCCUAGGAAUCUGCCUAGUGGUGGGGGAUAACGUUCGGAAACGGACGCUAAUACCGCAUACGUCCUACGGGAGAAAGCGGGGGACCUUCGGGCCUCGCGCCAUUAGAUGAGCCUAGGUCGGAUUAGCUAGUUGGUGAGGUAAAGGCUCACCAAGGCGACGAUCCGUAACUGGUCUGAGAGGAUGAUCAGUCACACUGGAACUGAGACACGGUCCAGACUCCUACGGGAGGCAGCAGUGGGGAAUAUUGGACAAUGGGCGAAAGCCUGAUCCAGCCAUGCCGCGUGUGUGAAGAAGGUCUUCGGAUUGUAAAGCACUUUAAGUUGGGAGGAAGGGUAGUAACUUAAUACGUUGCUACUUUGACGUUACCGACAGAAUAAGCACCGGCUAACUUCGUGCCAGCAGCCGCGGUAAUACGAAGGGUGCAAGCGUUAAUCGGAAUUACUGGGCGUAAAGCGCGCGUAGGUGGUUCAGUAAGUUGGAAGUGAAAUCCCCGGGCUCAACCUGGGAACUGCUUUCAAAACUGCUGAGCUAGAGUACGGUAGAGGGUGGUGGAAUUUCCUGUGUAGCGGUGAAAUGCGUANAUAUAGGAAGGAACACCAGUGGCGAAAGCGACCACCUGGACUGAUACUGACNCUGAGUGCGAAAGCGUGGGGAGCAAAACAAGGAUUAGAUACCCUUGUAGUCCACNCCGUAAACGAUGUCAACUAGCCCNUUUGGGAAGUCUUGAAC